GUUCACUUUGGCAGAACAUAUACUAAAAUUGGAAUGAUACAGAGAAGAUUAGUAUUAUCUGUGGCCCAUACACAAGGAUGACACACAAAUUCAUGAAACGUUCCAUAAUUUG
ensembl:snRNA U6 U6 spliceosomal RNA